rnacentral:rRNA from 1 species
GCUCAACUGAGGAAUUGCUUUGGAAACUGGAUGACUUGAGUGCAGUAGAGGAAAGUGGAACUCCAUGUGUAGCGGUGAAAUGCGUAGAUAUAUGGAAGAACACCAGUGGCGAAGGCGGCUUUCUGGACUGUAACUGACGUUGAGGCUCGAAAGUGUGGGUAGCAAACAGGAUUAGAUACCCUGGUAGUCCACACCGUAAACGAUGAGUGCUAGGUGUUUGAGGGUUUCCGCCCUUAAGUGCCGCAGCUAACGCAUUAAGCACUCCGCCUGGGGAGUACGACCGCAAGGUUGAAACUCAAAGGAAUUGACGGGGACCCGCACAAGCGGUGGAGCAUGUGGUUUAACUCGAAGCAACGCGAAGAACCUUACCAGGUCUUGACAUCCCUUGACAACUCCAGAGAUGGAGCGUUCCCUUCGGGGACAAGGUGACAGGUGGUGCAUGGUUGUCGUCAGCUCGUGUCGUGAGAUGUUGGGUUAAGUCCCGCAACGAGCGCAACCCUUAUUACUAGUUGCCAGCAUUUAGUUGGGCACUCUAGUGAGACUGCCGGUGACAAACCGGAGGAAGGUGGGGAUGACGUCAAAUCAUCAUGCCCCUUAUGACCUGGGCUACACACGUGCUACAAUGGCGUAUACAACG